UAGGGAAUCUUCGGCAAUGGACGGAAGUCUGACCGAGCAACGCCGCUUGAGUGAAGAAGGUUUUCGGAUCGUAAAGCUCUGUUGUUAGAGAAGAACGUUGGUAGGAGUGGAAAAUCUACCAAGUGACGGUAACUAACCAGAAAGGGACGGCUAACUACGUGCCAGCAGCCGCGGUAAUACGUAGGUCCCGAGCGUUGUCCGGAUUUAUUGGGCGUAAAGCGAGCGCAGGCGGUUCUUUAAGUCUGAAGUUAAAGGCAGUGGCUUAACCAUUGUACGCUUUGGAAACUGGAGGACUUGAGUGCAGAAGGGGAGAGUGGAAUUCCAUGUGUAGCGGUGAAAUGCGUAGAUAUAUGGAGGAACACCGGUGGCGAAAGCGGCUCUCUGGUCUGUAACUGACGCUGAGGCUCGAAAGCGUGGGGAGCAAAAAGG
rnacentral:rRNA from 1 species